rnacentral:rRNA from 1 species
GACAAGAAAUACAAUACGGGGCAUAUGUCUUGUAAUUGGAAUGAUGCCGACUUAAACCCUCGGCAGAGUACCAAUUGGAGGGCAAGUCUGGUGCCAGCAGCCGCGGUAAUUCCAGCUCCAAUAGCGUAUAUUAAACUUGUUGCAGUUAAAAAGCUCGUAGUUGAAUUUGAGCUUGCGCGAUUCCGUUAUUGGAGUAUUGCGCUUGCUUUUUUUUUUGUUACUUUGAGAAAAUUAGAGUGUUUCAAGCAGACUUUUGUCUUGAAUACUUCAGCAUGGAAUAAUAGAGUAGGACCUUGGUUCUAUUUUGUUGGUUUUUGAGCCUUGGUAAUGGUUAAUAGGAACGGUUGGGGGCAUUCGUAUUUAACUGUCAGAGGUGAAAUUCU